rnacentral:rRNA from 1 species
AUCUACAGCCAUGCCACCCUGAACGCGUCCGAUCUCAGAAGCUAAGCAGGGUCGGGCAUGGUUAGUAUUUGGAUGGGAGAUCACCUAGGAAGACCAGGUGCUGUAGGCA